GGUGUGCGCGCGGCCGGAGUCUGUGGAGCUGGAAAUUCACCGGUCCAGGAAGACGUCUUUCCCGCGUCCCAGCACCGGUCCAGAAAGACGUCUUUCCCGCGUCCCAGCACCUCGGGCCACGCUCCUUCGUGAGAGCGCCCUCUCCAAGGAGGCCGGCCCUGGAUAUUUCACCCAAAAUAUUUAUUUUUUCUUUUUUUCUAGACCGUUAGGUUCCGUGGUACCCUGGAGUCCACAGCUGCUGAAUCUGAAGGGCCAUCAGAAGACUGGCUUCUCCAUGAUGGUUUAUGGACUAAGGCAAAGAUGAGCAGAGCCAUGGCCCUCUUCUUUGUUCUCUGCUGGAUCCAAGAGUCGGGGGUCUCCCUAUGUUUCCCAGGCUGGCCUCGAACUCCUGACCUCAAGUGAUCCUCCCACCUCAGCCUCCCCGAGUGCUGGGAUUAAAGACGUGAGCCACGGCACCUGGCCUGAAUUUUCCUCAAAUUCAAAAAAUCCUGAUGAAGGUUUGGCUAAAAUCUUUGGUGAGUUACCCCACUCCCUGUGGAACCUCAGGCUGGAUUUGAAGAGUUGCGUGCAUGGUCCUCAUUGUCUCCCAGGUAACCUGUUCCCGCUGCUGUGAAGGGAAGGCAGGUGCUCUUCCUUGAGGCUAGAAUCUGUCUACGUGUCACAGUCUCAGGAAAUUAAGCAAAACAGAUGAUAAACACCUCAAAAGGACCCUACUGAGCAUC
rnacentral:sRNA from 1 species